GAUGAAGAACGUAGCGAAAUGCGAUAAGUAGUGUGAAUUGCAAAAUUCCGUGAAUCAUCGAAUCUUUGAACGCACAUUGCGCCCGCCAGUAUUCUGGCGGGCAUGCCUGUUCGAGCGUCAUUACAACCCUCAGGCCCCCGGGCCUGGCGUUGGGGAUCGGCGGAAGCCCCCUGCGGGCACAACGCCGUCCCCCAAAUACAGUGGCGGUCCCGCCGCAGCUUCCAUUGCGUAGUAGCUAACACCUCGCAACUGGAGAGCGGCGCGGCCACGCCGUAAAACACCCAACUUCUGAAUGUUGACCUCGAAUCAGGUAGGAAUACCCGCUGAACUUAAGCAUAUCAAUAAGCGGAGGA
rnacentral:misc_RNA from 1 species